UCCCUGGGAAAAUCCUCGUGAAACCCGCUCUUACGCCAUUUUCCGGCUUUUUGUGUGCUGAAGAUAUUACCGUGUGUACGGGUAUCAUUCCAACUCUGUGAAUUUUGCAUAGACUUUUGUCCAGCUUUAAUCACAGUAACAAAGAUGGCCGUCCCACCAGUUUACGCAGAUUUGGGCAAGUCAGCCAGAGAUAUCUUUGGAAAGGGCUUUGGAUUUGGUUUCGUGAAGCUAGAUGCCAAGACCACCACCCAGUCAGGCGUGGACUUCAAUGUUGUUGGAACAUCAAAUAACGACACCGGUAAAGUAGAUGGUAGCCUGGAGACAAAAUACAGCUGGAAGGACUAUGGUAA